rnacentral:misc_RNA from 1 species
AGCAUUCGCGCCAGCCAAUAUACAGCGCCGUUGGGAUCACUGCCACGCAUGCUUUUGAUAAAUGCGCUGAUGAUGUUGUAAUGCUGCUCACCGGUCUUAUCAUAAAGCGCGGGCUUCUGCUGAACCAGCCGGUACACGACUUCAUCUGUGACAGCUUUUUCCGGUCCCGGCAGAUGACCAAUGACAAGUUCGAGAAUGUUCAGGAGUUUCCUGGCGUCCCCGCCGGAUAAACGCAUGAGGGCCGUUGUUUCCUUCAGCUCCACCUUGCUCUGCUUAAG